rnacentral:rRNA from 1 species
CGGGGAGCAAUCCCAGCGGCGAACGGGUGAGUAACACGUAGGUAAUGUGCCUUUUGGUGGGGAAUAACCGUGGGAAACCAUGGCUAAUACCGCAUAUCGUGCUUCGGCAUGAAAGCUUCUGAGGCAACUCGGGGGCGCCAGUUGAGCAGCCUGCGUCCCAUUAUUUAGUCCUAGUUGGUAGGGUAAUGGCCUACCAAGGGUACGAUGGGUAGCUGGUCUGAGAGGAUGAUCAGCCACACUGGAACUGAGACACGGUCCAGACUCCUACGGGAGGCAGCAGUGGGGAAUAUUGCGCAAUGGGGGAAACCCUGACGCAGCCACGCCGCGUGAGUGAUGAAGGCCUUCGGGUUGUAAAGCUCUGUCGGGAAGGGCGAAGGGGA